UGAACGCUGGCGGCAUGCCUUACACAUGCAAGUCGAACGGCAGCACGGGGCAACCUGGUGGCGAGUGGCGAACGGGUGAGUAAUAUAUCGGAACGUGCCCUGGAGUGGGGGAUAACGUAGCGAAAGUUACGCUAAUACCGCAUACGAUCUCAGGAUGAAAGCAGGGGACCGCAAGGCCUUGUGCUCCUGGAGCGGCCGAUAUCUGAUUAGCUAGUUGGUGGGGUAAAAGCCUACCAAGGCGACGAUCAGUAGCUGGUCUGAGAGGACGACCAGCCACACUGGAACUGAGACACGGUCCAGACUCCUACGGGAGGCAGCAGUGGGGAAUUUUGGACAAUGGGGGCAACCCUGAUCCAGCAAUGCCGCGUGUGUGAAGAAGGCCUCGGUUGUAAGCACUUUGUCAGGACGAACGGUUAGGGCGUAAUAUCCUCGGCGUAAUGACGGUACCGUCGAAGAAUAAGCACCGGCGUAACUACGUGCCAGCAGC
rnacentral:rRNA from 1 species